rnacentral:rRNA from 1 species
CCUACGGGAGGCAGCAGUGGGGGAUAUUGCACAAUGGGGGAAACCCUGAUGCAGCGACGCCGCGUGUGGGAAGACGGUCCUCUGGAUUGUAAACCACUGUCCCCAGGGACGAAGAUGACGGUACCUGGGGAGGAAGCUCCGGCGAACUACGUGCCAGCAGACGCGGUAAUACGUAGGGAGCAAGCGUUGUCCGGAAUUAAUGGGUGAAAAGGGCGCGUAGGCGGGAUGGCAAGUUGGGUGUUAAAUCUACCGGCUCAACUGGUAGUCGCACUCAAAACUGGUAUUCUUGAGUGAAGUAGAGGCAUGCGGAAUUCCUAGUGUAGCGGUGAAAUGCGUAGAUAUUAGGAGGAACACCAGUGGCGAAGGCGGCCUGCUGGGCUUUUACUGACGCUGAGGCUCGAAAGUGUGGGGAGCAAACAGGAUUAGAUACCCUGGUAGUC